rnacentral:lncRNA from 1 species
UCCAACUGUGCCAGAACGUAGAAUGGGUCCUGGUCUUUCCCUUACAUAUCAUAACAUAACAGUGUCCAACUGUGCCAGAACGUAGAAUGGGUCCUGGUCUUUCCCUUACAUAGUGCCAGCGAACGUAGAAUGGGUCCCACUGGUCUUACAUUCCGUACCGUACAUAUCACAUCAUCGUAUCAUAGAUCGAGGGCUAUGGAUCAUCCAACAUUCAUCCACAUCAACAUUUAACAUAUGCAAUGCAACAUAUUCGUGAAUUCUAAUGCAAGCAACC